CACAAGGUUCUUCUCAGAACCACCUCUUGGUGAGGUUGAAACUCAGG
rfam:Buceros rhinoceros silvestris contig104555, whole genome shotgun sequence.